AUCCUAAGGAAGAAAAAAUGCUUAGCAGAUCAAAAGGAAAAAGCAUAUGGCUACGAAACCGAGAACCCAAAAGACAGUGAAAAGAAACACAAGGCACAAAGAGCCAGUGUGCAAGUGUCAGGUGACGCUUUACUGUUACAUAGGAUUAUCCUUCCUCCCAGCUAUGCUCCUUGGCAACCUCCUACCCACACUAACAGACCAGACCAGGAGUUACAUGGUCAUGGUUAGAACACUCUCUGCCCUAAACUGAGGAUCUUCAGAAUGCAGAAGAGGGUGCAUCAGGACCACGUGCUAACACUUCGUGAUCUCCGCUAGCUGCUGCAGGUGCAAGGAGGAAAAACUAAGCAACUUCUCCCCUGGGGAAUGUCUACAUCCUAAGAAGCACCCGUCAAGACAACUUAUCAAACAGAAAAGACACCCAGGGUCCAGAAUCAGUUGGUAUGUUUCUAAAAGAGAAGACCAGAGUUCAGAGCUGUGUCAAAGGAGUCACGGGAGAGGAAACACAGAGGAGGCAAAAAAGGAGAGCACAGCUAACUUCUGGUGAGGAUAAGAAUCAUGGAUCCCAAGAGCCGUGGCACACUGAGGGAAAUGGAGUCGAGAACAGCCUUUGUCUGCGGUGUCCACAGAUGGGAUAAAUGGCAGUGCUGAGACAAGCAGGGAUAGCUACCUCCAAGGGACACUAAAACUAAUGCAGAUGGCUAAGGGAAACAUAGAUUGUCUUGAAAAACGACAAAAACAAAAUCUUAAAUGGCAAAAAGCAAAACUUGGACAAUGAGACGGCUGUAAGUUAAAACAAAACAACUUAAUAAAGGAUUUCUCCUACUUUGCAGCACAGAAGCCAAAAAUGUUUCAAUCUGAAUGUCAGCUUUGCUCCUUACUACCUAUACAAUUUACUUGAAUUCAAUCCUUCCCGAUAUGGUUUAAAUAUCAACGUCUUGUAGAAGAAAUGCAAAUUCUGUGAUUCUUUUUCAAAUAUAUAUAAAACUAAAUUAAUUGCUCUUCCCUGAAAACCUUGUUUUCCAACUUUAGUAUUUUGAUCACAUUCUCCAAGUCACUAAGGUUUAAUCCCCGCAACCUGGUGUGUGCGGUCGUGUGCUCAUGUUUAAGGAUAAGGCCUUACCUUAGUCUCCUCAGAGGCUAAGACACCACUAUGUCCAGCUUUCUCGAAGGUUUAGAGUCUUCGAAUUAUCUCCCUGCCAGCCAAUAUUCAUCCCCAAAAAACUCCCUAAGUCUUCAUAUUUUCUAUAGGAUUCUAUGAUAGCCUUGCCUCAGAGUCAGCCCUUGGUCUCCCUUUACAACCUGACAUUGCCCUGAAUGUACUGUGUAUCUUCCUCAUGUCUCCCUGUAUGAUGCACACAUUCUAUAUUGAAUU